GGUGGUUCUGAAUGGAAGGGCCAUCGCUCAACGGAUAAAAGGUACUCCGGGGAUAACAGGCUGAUACCGCCCAAGAGUUCACAUCGACGGCGGUGUUUGGCACCUCGAUGUCGGCUCAUCACAUCCUGGGGCUGUAGCCGGUCCCAAGGGUAUGGCUGUUCGCCAUUUAAAGUGGUACGCGAGCUGGGUUUAGAACGUCGUGAGACAGUUCGGUCCCUAUCUGCCGUGGGCGUUGGAAAUUUGAGAGGAGCUGCUCCUAGUACGAGAGGACCGGAGUGGACGUACCCCUGGUGUUCGGGUUGUUUUGCCAAAAGCAUUGCCCGGUAGCUAUGUACGGACGGGAUAACCGCUGAAAGCAUCUAAGCGGGAAGCCCCCCUCAAGAUUAGAUUUCCCAGAGCUUUAAGCUCCUGAAGGGCCGUUGAAGACUACAACGUUGAUAGGUUGGGUGUGGAAGCGCAGUAAUGUGUGAAGCUAACCAAUACUAAUUGCCCGUGAGGCUUGACCAUAUAACCCCAAG
rnacentral:rRNA from 1 species